AUACACACAAGUGAGAUGUCAGUUUCCUUUAUUUCUGAUAAGGUAAAAGAAGUUCCAGUGCUCCUGGAAACUUUGGAGGUGAAUUAUCCAGUUGAGAGCUAUGCUUAACAUCUUACAGGUCUUGGUCAGCCCGGUGUGCUCCACCAAAUCCUCUGAGAACACCUCCUGCUGUGCCAACUGACCCAGCAAACUAGGUGCAACCUCUUCUGCUACCAACAGGAGGCCAACUGCUUCUAGACUAAAACCACUUGCUUUGGAAAUGAAUCAGCUACACUUCUCCAGGCUCCCUGAGCCUUCAGUGACUGCUUUCUGAUUUCAAUCAACUGCUUCUCUCAUUCCCCAGAACAAGCAUUUGAACCCUUACAUGAACUUUCCAAGAAAAUCCAACUAUUGUAAACUGCCUAAGAAAAAGAUACUAGUCAUCCUGUAAGUACACUGAAUGAACUGAUGAAAAUCUUUAUUCAGUUACAUGUUUCACAUCGUAGCUUUAUGCAAAACACUAAAAUACUGCUUCCUUAACUUGGUCUGCGGUUGGUGUAUUGCACCAAAGUCAAAGACUAUGGGGUUGGGCAGGGGGGUCAGGUCCUGGAACAUGAUGGCAAAGGAGGACCUAGUGGGGGUUGAAUUGAACUGUUGAUGUGGAGAACUGAGAAAUGUUAUGCAUGUACAAACAUGUAUUUACUGUCAACUAUAAAACAUUAAUCCCCCAAUAAAGAAAAAUAAAAUAAAA